rnacentral:rRNA from 1 species
GUCGAGGGGUAACAGAAAAGCUUGCUUUUGCUGACGACCGGCGCACGGGUGCGUAACGCGUAUGCAACCUACCUCAUACUGGAGGAUAGCCCCUGGAAACGGGGAUUAAUACUCCAUAGUAUCACGAAUUCGCAUGUUUUUGUGAUUAAAGUUUUUCGGUAUGAGAUGGGCAUGCGUCCCAUUAGCUUGUUGGUGAGGUAACGGCUCACCAAGGCAACGAUGGGUAGGGGGCCUGAGAGGGUGGUCCCCCACACUGGUACUGAGACACGGACCAGACUCCUACGGGAGGCAGCAGUGAGGAAUAUUGGUCAAUGGAGGCAACUCUGAACCAGCCAUGCCGCGUGAAGGAUGACGGCCCUAUGGGUUGUAAACUUCUUUUAUAGAGGAAGAAACUUAUCUACGUGUAGAUAACUGACGGUACUCUACGAAUAAGGAUCGGCUAACUCCGUGCCAGCAGCCGCGGUAAUACGGAGGAUCCAAGCGUUAUCCGGAUUCAUUGGGUUUAAAGGGUCCGUAGGCGGGUCUUUAAGUCAGUGGUGAAAGCCGACAGCUCAACUGUCGAACUGCCAUUGAUACUGGAGACCUUGAGUACAAAUGAAGUAGGCGGAAUGAGUCAUGUAGCGGUGAAAUGCAUAGAUAUGACUCAGAACACCGAUUGCGAAGGCAGCUUACUAACAUGUAACUGAUGCUGAGGGACGAAAGCGUGGGGAGCGAACAGGAUUAGAUACCCUGGUAGUCCACGCCGUAAACGAUCAUCACUCGCUGUUGGCGAUAUACUGUCAGCGGCCAAGCGAAAGUAUUAAGUGAUGCACCUGGGGAGUACGCCGGCAACGGUGAAACUCAAAGGAAUUGACGGGGGCCCGCACAAGCGGUGGAGCAUGUGGUUUAAUUCGAUGAUACGCGAGGAACCUUACCAGGGCUUAAAUGUAGUAUGACCGGCUUGGAAACAGGCCUUCUCUUCGGAGCAGAUUACAAGGUGCUGCAUGGUUGUCGUCAGCUCGUGCCGUGAGGUGUUAGGUUAAGUCCUGCAACGAGCGCAACCCCUAUUCUUAGUUGCCAGCGGUUCGGCCGGGGACUCUAAGAAGACUGCCAGCGCAAGCUGAGAGGAAGGUGGGGAUGACGUCAAAUCAUCACG